AGUAGUGAUAUGCUGAGUCAAUACUUUUAAGUAUCCAAUACCCUCGACACUCGGUACCGAAACAUUGAAGUUUCGAAUAAAUGCGCACAUAGGUCAAAAAUAUG